CAGGGCACAAGCAACAGGCAAAGCCUGCACUUUCCCUCUCAGAAAGGGACCCGGUGGCCUGGGAGAACUGUUCCCAAAGCUGACUACAGCUGCUUUCUUACUCUCAGUAACUCUCACGGCGGCGGCGUGAAGCUCCAGGGAGACAGGCCUCUGUCCUCAGGGAAGCCAGCACUCCAGGUCUCUGUUUAGAAAGUCUCUUUUUGGCUGAUUCCUCUGCUGUGAACACAGCACCCCACCUUGGACACUCAAGAGUUAUUAAGCCAGUGACGAUCUGUUUCAAAAGGACGGUAUUAUUCAAACCUGAGCAGAAAGCAAACAGAGCAUCCAGGAACCCUCUAGCCCUGAGUGGGAGCCUCUUCAAGGGCUGGAAAGAGACAAGCAGAUGGCCAGUUGGAAGGGAACAGCGCAUCUCGUGCAUCUGAGGUCAGUAAAGGUUCUGGGCUGCCAGCACCUACAUAAAAACUCUCCACUAGUUCCACUGACCAGUGAAACAAGGAUCUUGUCUGCUUGGAAGGCACUAAAAAAGAGAGCUGGGGCAAUAGCUCUGUCAGUAAAGUGUUUGCCACAGAAGCAUGGGGAUCCCCAGAAGGCCCCCUCAUUCCUUUCAAAGCCAGAUAUGUCAGUGUGUGUCUGUACUAAGUGCUGAAAGGGAGAUGAUAUGUGGGUCCCUGGGACUCUCUGACCAGCCAGUUUAGUCAAAUUGGAAAGUUCCAGGCCAAUGGCAGACUCUACCACAAAAAGAAAGAAAAAAGUGGGUGGUGGUACCUAAUGAAUGACAUCCAAGGUUGACCUCUGGCCUACACGCAUAUACAUGCACACCCUGGCAUACACACACAGCACACACAUAUGUGUGGAAAUGAUGAACAGAUACACAGCCUUCAUUACCCUGCCUCAAUGUUGUCUUGACUAGGAGGAUCUAGUACACCACCAUCUAUCUCAAGGAGGGAGUCUGCAGCCAAGUGACAUCCAGAUACCAACUGGGGGCCGAUGGAUAAAGCCAGUUGUCCUAAUGGGCUCUUGCCAGAGCUGCAUAGGGUCAGUAGGAGUCACUUCUCAGACACCAAGUUCUUUUGGCAAACCCAAGAUCAAAGGACAAGAGAUUUGGGAAGGGUUUUUAAGAGAUGCUUUUGAGACAUCCGUGGCUACCCCGACUCUCUUGUCCUACCCUGUUUUAAGGAAGCUCCAUGUCUGUGAAGGAGGGUGAAAGAUGAACCCACUGUGAUGGUCAGGAAACCCCGUCUCACACAGGACACACAGUGCCAGCUCAGGGUCACAGCACAUGCCACUGAUGACCUGGCAUGAUAGGUACAUCCCUAGCCCAACUCAGCACCAGACACCAACAAGAGGCACACGAUCACAUGUUUCAUUUGUACGUCUUGCUGCCAAGUGCAGUACAGUUAGCCUCAAAGGUUUCUACAGCACAUCCCCACAGUCUACCAUGCUCUCCACAGAGAUGAGCUAUUGGCAGGAGGUGAGAGCGGGUGGUGAAGAGAGGAGGCAGGGGAAAAGCCAGGAAGUUGGCAAGUUGGCAGGCUGGUCCUUCCCACUUACACACACACACACACACACACACACACACACACACACACACACACUCACUCUUCAAUUCAGAAAGCUUAGCACAAUCGGCUUCCCUGGCUCCGGGCUUUCAUCCUCAAAGCUGCUUUCCACACAGACACACACACAGACACAAAGAUUCUAAAUAGAGCGGAACUGAGCAUGGGACUGUAGCCGAUGAAGUCUUCCCCUCCCCAGAAAGCUCAGCUCCACACACAGUGGCUGUUCUACCCCCAGCACCUCUUGCUCAAAGCAUUCUUGACCCAGGAGCACUGGACCCUGACCGGCAGGCACAAAGCUGCCACGGUUGGAUUUUGCUUCUGCAGCAUUUUGCUUGGGUGCCUCCUCCUCCCUUCCAUCAUCAGAUGAUGCCUUCUCCAGACUCCCAGGGUCUGUGUCGGUCCUGGAAGACAACUUGGGGAGCCUAUUACCAGCAAGGAAAAGGAGCCUGAAAUCUCACUAUUGACUUCUAAGUGAUACUCAGAGGCUUGGUGAACUCACAGAACCUCAGUGUUCCCAAAAUGGAAGUCUUAGAGCAGAGACCACCAUGUCUGAGAGCAGACCACAGACCCACUUUUGUGCUAGGUUAUCAGAGGAUAAUUUCUAUUAUGUUAGAGUCUUCUGUUGGCCCCAACUGGUCCUGUGCAAUCAAUCCAUCAGGGUGGUUUCAUAGAGUCGCAUGUUUGGUUCUGGAAGAAUCUAGCCAAAACACAGUCCCAAGGGGCACAGAACCCAUAGUAACGUAUAGAUCUAGGCAUAGCAUAGCCAUGGUUUUUUUUUUUUUGUACUUUAGUCACUUGAGGUUUGUUCUGCUUUGGGGGCAGGGUCUCAUGUAGCCCUGGGUGGUCUAGAACCUUCUUUGUAGCCAAGAAUGACCUUGAAUGACCUUGAACUUUUGAUCCUCCUGCCACCACACCCCGUUUGUGUGCAAUGCUACGACUCCCACCCAGAUUUUUUUGUACAUGAUGGGCAGGCAGACUGCUUUAGUCUCCACAAACGUCAAUAACAUGCCAGCCAGGGUUUGUUGGGAGGUAUUCGGACCCUCUGCAAUGCAAAGGUCAUGAGGUAACCGACUCAAAACCCAGGUGCCAGCCUGGGCCAAGGCGACAGACUUCUUUUCACGGCUACAGAAAGCUCAGAUAAUGGCUACUCGGCCUCCUGCGUGUGCAUCCCGGCGUCCAGAGCACAUGGCAGAGAUUACCCUGUAGAAUCUCUGGAAGGAGCUUGUGGGGUGUCAAACUGGAGGAUGGGAAGCCUGAGGACCCGGCUCAUCUGGAAGUUGUGACAAGACAACCAACCCAGCCUCCACCCAAGCCACUUCCUGGUAUUCCCACCGAGUAUGAGGCCAAACUGAUUCCAUGACUUGCCAAUGAGUCAGGGCCACCCUGUUCUUCACAGCCUCUCUGAACUCGGCACCGCAAAGGCAGGGGACAAAAUUAAUUUUAAAGAGAAUGUGAGAAUUACUAACGCUUAUCGCCGGCAUCGUAGGCACCCCUCCCUCCUCCUCCUCCACACCAACAUGAAGGAAAAACAUGUCUGAGGAGAAUCCAAACAUUGGAUGGGAGGAAUACUACAAAAUGCGCAGAUGGGAGUCCUGGGCCACGCCAUGCAUUUAAAGAUAAGUAGACCACUUUGUCCUUUGUGGUUUGGGUUUGUGGCGUCCUCCGGUCACACGGGUUUCUGAGCUGGGACACAGGCGGUAGCGUCCAUUCUUUCUCUCUCAAGUCUGGUUCAGACCAAGACAAGAUGGAAAUGCAGGGCAAAGGAAUGCUUUCCCCUCUGGAUGAACUGUUUUACAAUAAGCUACCUGCUGGGGUCAGGAAAUAUGAGAUCUGGGGAUUUCAGCUCCCACCAAAGCUCACACAGGGGUAGGCAGGCUGCAGUGAUCUGGGGAGGAUAUGCUCAACCCCACACAGCCCUUAGUGUCUGCUCCGGUUUUCCUUGGGAAACACAUCUCUCUCCUAUUUCACCUCCUUCCUCCCUUGGUUCUCACUCAACCUGUGCUCACAGCCCGCCUGGUGAGAGCCACAGCUUCCAGCCAAAGAUCUACCAUACUCCCAACACUGCUGCUCACUACCAAGGUGCUGGCAUGAUAGGGGAGGGCAGGGCAGGGUUGUUCCCUAGGCGCCCAUAGAAAACCUAUUUUCUUUGUAAUUAGGUGUGUGAUGCUCCAAUCGGAGAGAGGGGUGACCAAGACAAAAAUAAACAGGGAGCAGCGGAAACAGGCAGCCCUGCCCUGGGAAUGAGAACCGUGAAGGAUGAAAGUUUAUACAAACACGGAAAAAUGGUCAGUGUCAGAAGACAGAAAGGCCUGUGCUUGCUUCUGCACUGGAAGGGAAGUUGGUUUAUGACGUUUUCUUUGCUCCUUAGUUUCGAAUGCUCUCCUGGCCCCGUGUCCUUUAAACAAACCGGCUUUUCCAUUCUCUCACGGUGCCGGGAGGGCCGAAGGUUGAGUUGGCCGAGCUGACCACUGAAUGUCACAGUUCUGAAAGCCCACACCCAGUCAGAGAGGUAAAACUGGGGUAUGGACAAGGAGAAAGCCAGGGAGGUCUCUGCCUGCCUCCCCAGCUACCACCCCGGGAGAAGAGCCACAGAAAGAGCUUUAAGUAUUCAGAGUGUACCUAAGACUGCAUUUCUAAGGCCCGGUAAGGAUAGGUUCAAGAUCUUGAUCUUCAGUAGAAAACCUUGAGGGCACUGGAAGCCACGGGAGAUGAAGGCUUGAGUCUGGCUGCUGAGGCCAAGGCCCACAGUUCUGACAUCACAGACAAAACCCACAGAGCCCAAAACCCACUGCACUGGGCUACCACGUGACGUACCACAGAUCCUUGUGCACCUGAAACGACUGCUUCCCACCCAGACUCAGGGGACCCAUGUGCUUCCUUGCUCGAAUCACAGAUUGGGAAUCUCCAACCCCAAAACGCAAAGUCCAAAAUGCCCUCCUCUCCCAUGUCCAAUAGGACACCACAGGUAGAAAACUCGAUACUGGACCUCAGGUCACGUGUUCUACUCAAAACACAUGUCCAAAAAAAAAAAAAAAAAAAAAAAACUACCAUAGGAGGUCACCUCCAGGUCGUACGUGUCAGCUCUAUUUGAAAUCAGUGAGUUGUUCUGACACCCUGGUUUCGGAUGUGUAUAUUUCAAAAUCUGAAAGUUCCGAAAUCCCAAGCAGUUCUCUAACUUUUUUAAACAUUUACUUAUUGACUUAUUGUUUGUAUGCAUGCCCUAGCAUGUGUGUGAAGGCCAGAAAUAGUUGGUAGGAAUCGGGUCUCUACUCACGCUGUGUGGAUUACAGGGCUUGAACUCAGAUCAUCGGGUGUGGCAGUGAGUGUCUUUGCCCACUGAGCCAGUAGCUCUACACACACUUCGUAGGUUACUCAGGCUUUGAGUUGUGAUAAAUAAGAUAGAUCGUGGGGAUAAAAUCUAAAGGAAAUCUGACCUACUCUGGCUGAUGGUUUCACAGCGUCCAGUGCACGUCUGCUCGGUACCAUGGAUCGGCACAAAAUGCCAUGGCAGUGGGAACAUGAUGCGGUGGUGUUUCGUCAGGGAACAUGGAGAGUGAAGAAAAGGAGAUCCAGGAAGUGAACUGGGAAGCAUAGCAUGAACCGCUCACCUGCGUCCCUUAACUAGACUUAACUAGGCUUUUACUGCCUCUCAGUAAUGUCUCAAGUAUGAGUCCAUCAAAGGGACCGAGACAUUGAUUAGAUCUAAUCAUCCCUGGGAAAGCCAUGGCAGACACUCCCAGGGGUGUGCUUUAUGCACUAUCUACUAGGUAUGCCUCCCUCCAGUGAAGUCAACGAUCAUGAUUAAUCAUCAUGCUUGGUGUCUAAGUCAUGUUUUAUAGGGGGCGCCCACCCUGGAUUAACACAGCUAAGAUGCCGAGUUGAGGGAGUGUUGUUGUUCCGAGUUCUGUUCCAAGGGCCAGAACUCAGCCCUUGGAACUUCUAAACCACUCUUAGAAGCAGGGCAGAGAAGGGAACGGGAGCUAGGGACGUGACUCAGAAGCUGAAGUGAAUGGGUAAAGCCAUGCAAGCAUGAAGACCUGAGUCCCAGCCCCAGUGCCCAGAGACAAAGCCACACAUAGACAUACACACUUGGAAUCCCAGCACCGAGGAGCAGGGACAGACGGGAGUGGAUUUCAUAACUUUGAGUUAAAAGAGGGAAAGAAGACGGGUCAGUUGGUCUUGCCAAAUUGGUGUGUUCCAGGUUCAAUGAGAGACCCUGCUUACUAAAAAUAAAAUAAAAUAAAUAAAUAAAUAAAUAAAUAAAUAAAUAAAUAAAUAAAUAUUUAAAAGGUGGACAGCUCCUAUAAGUAAAACUGGCUUCCACACACAUGUACACAAGUACAUCAGGGCCUGCUUAUAUAUAUGCAAAACACACACACAGCGCGCGCACACACACACACACACACACACACACACACACACACACUGGAAAUCAAGGGACAGAAACACUUAAUGAAUCGCAUGAUAUCCCUGUUGAAGGUUCAACUCUGCCUGGCUUUCCUUUACAACUUUGAACCUAUGUAAGCUACUUGGGACAAUGGAACAUUCAAGAGGCCAGAAUUCAUGGGGUAGAAAGGCCACCAGGAUGAGAGCAGUAAGAGACAUCCCAGUGAUCACAGCGGACCUUUGGGGUGCGUGUCAGACACUACUGAUGUUCACCCGCAUUUGUAGGACAGAGUCGAGCAUUUGUUGGAUCUCCUGCACCCAGGAGGAGCAUCCUGGCCAGUUCCUGCCAAUGCAGUGUGACCAGGAGAGGGGGGAGGUCCCUCCAGGUUACAGAGUGACCCACUAGCCUAUUCUUACAUAGAUCUCUGGCACAAGAGGAAGGAAGAACUGGAAUAACAACUGGGACAUGGUCACUAUUAACUGAGCCCGGGUCCCAGCAUUUCUUUUUUUUUUUUUUUUUUUUUUGGUUCUUUUUUUUCGGAGCUGGGGACCGAACCCAGGGCCUUGCGCUUCCUAGGUAAGCGCUCUAUCACUGAGCUAAAUCCCCAGCCCCCCAGCA